rnacentral:rRNA from 1 species
UACGGGGGGGGCAAGCGUUGUUCGGAAUUACUGGGCGUAAAGCGCACGUAGGCGGAUUUGUUAGUCAGGGUGAAAUCCCGGGGCUCAACCUCGGAACUGCCUUUGAUACUGCAAAUCUCGAGUCCGAUAGAGGUGGUGGAAUUCCUAGUGUAGAGGUGAAAUUCGUAGAUAUUAGGAAGAACACCGGUGGCGAAGGCGGCCCACUGGAUCGGUACUGACGCUGAGGUGCGAAAGCGUGGGGAUCAAACAGG